UUAGAGUUCCACCGACCCAGCCUCUUUGUGC
rnacentral:piRNA from 1 species